rnacentral:RNase_P_RNA from 1 species
GUGGGGUGGCUUGUCGCUCGUCACUUGGCAACGGGUAUCGAGAGGAAAGUCCGGGCAACACAGAGCAUCGCACUUCUUAACUGGAAGCCAUGGGUGACUGUGGGGCAGGGUGACAGAAAAUAACCGCCUGGCACAUUGUCGGGUAAGGGUGAAAAGGUGGGGUAAGAGCCCACCGGGCGCGAUGGUGACACCGCGUGCCGCAUCUCCUGCGAGUUGCAAGGUCAAGUAUACCGUCGAAUAAGGGUUGCUCGCUCUUGGCGGAGGGUAGACCGCUAUACCACGUCGGCAACGGCGCGGACAGAUAAAUGACAGGCGGCCACACUUCGUUGUGGCUACAUAACCCGGCUUAUAGCCUCACUG